rnacentral:rRNA from 1 species
GACGUAGGAUGCAAGCGUUGUCCGGACUUAUUGGGCGUAAAGAGUUCGUAGGCGGUUGCCUAAGUCUGAUGUUAAAUACUGGAGCUCAACUCCGGCAUGGCAUUGGAAACUGGGUAGCUAGAGUGUGGUAGAGGUCUCGGGAAUUCCAGGUGUAGCGGUGAAAUGCGUAGAUAUCUGGAGGAACACCUGUGGCGAAAGCGGCUCACUGGACCAUAACUGACGCUGAUGCACGAAAGCUAGGGGAGCAAACAGG